rnacentral:rRNA from 1 species
UACGGAGGGUGCAAGCGUUGUCCGGAAUUAUUGGGCGUAAAGAGCGUGUAGGCGGCCAGAUAAGUCCGCUGUGAAAUCUCGAGGCUCAACUUCGAGCUGUCGGUGGAAACUAUCUGGCUAGAGUCCGGAAGAGGAGAAUGGAAUUCCUGGUGUAGCGGUGAAAUGCGCAGAUAUCAGGAGGAACACCCGUAGCGAAGGCGGCACUCUGGGCCGAUACUGACACUGAGGAGCGAAAGCGUGGGGAGCGAACAGG